GACGGACGCUGGCGGCGUGCUUAACACAUGCAAGUCGAACGGAAAGGCCCUGCUUUUGUGGGGUGCUCGAGUGGCGAACGGGUGAGUAACACGUGAGUAACCUGCCCUUGACUUUGGGAUAACUUCAGGAAACUGGGGCUAAUACCGGAUAGGAGCUCCUGCUGCAUGGUGGGGGUUGGAAAGUUUCGGCGGUUGGGGAUGGACUCGCGGCUUAUCAGCUUGUUGGUGGGGUAGUGGCUUACCAAGGCUUUGACGGGUAGCCGGCCUGAGAGGGUGACCGGCCACAUUGGGACUGAGAUACGGCCCAGACUCCUACGGGAGGCAGCAGUGGGGAAUAUUGCACAAUGGGCGGGAGCCUGAUGCAGCAACGCCGCGUGCGGGAUGACGGCCUUCGGGUUGUAAACCGCUUUCGCCUGUGACGAAGCGUGAGUGACGGUAAUGGGUAAAGAAGCACCGGCUAACUACGUG
rnacentral:rRNA from 1 species